rnacentral:rRNA from 1 species
CCUACGGGGGGCGGCAGUGAGGAAUUUUGCGCAAUGGGGUAACCCCUGACGCAGCAACGCCGCGUGAGUGAAGAAGGCCUUUGGGUCGUAAAGCUCUGUCAACUGGGAAGAAGUUACAACAAUCCAAUAGGUAGUUGUAUUGACGGUACCAGUGGAGGAAGCGCCGGCUAACUCCGUGCCAGCAGCCGCGGUAACACGGGGGGCGCAAGCGUUAUUCGGAAUUAUUGGGCGUAAAGGGCGUGUAGGCGGUCUUAUCGGUCAGAUGUGAAAGCCCAGGGCUCAACCCUGGACGUGCAUUUGAAACAGUAAGACUUGAGUACUGGAGAGGAAAGCGGAAUUCCUGGUGUAGAGGUGAAAUUCGUAGAUAUCAGGAGGAACACCGAUGGCGAAGGCAGCUUUCUGGACAGAAACUGACGCUGAUGCGCGAAGGCGUGGGUAGCGAACAGGAUUAGAUACCCUGGUAGUCCACGCAGUAAACGAUGUACACUAGGUGUAGGUGAUAUUAAAAUUGUCUGUGCCGCAGUUAACGCAUUAAGUGUACCGCCUGGGGAGUACGGUCGCAAGACUAAAACUUAAAGGAAUUGACGG